CCCCGUCAGGACGAACGCUGGCGGCGUGCCUAAUACAUGCAAGUCGAGCGGACAGAAGGGAGCUUGCUCCCGGAUGUUAGCGGCGGACGGGUUGAGUAACACGUGGGUAACCUGCCUGUAAGACUGGGAUAACUCCGGGAAACCGGAGCUAAUACCGGAUAGUUCCUUGAACCGCAUGGUUCAAGGAUGAAAGACGGUUUCGGCUGUCACUUACAGAUGGACCCGCGGCGCAUUAGCUAGUUGGUGAGGUAACGGCUCACCAAGGCGACGAUGCGUAGCCGACCUGAGAGGGUGAUCGGCCACACUGGGACUGAGACACGGCCCAGACUCCUACGGGAGGCAGCAGUAGGGAAUCUUCCGCAAUGGACGAAAGUCUGACGGAGCAACGCCGCGUGAGUGAUGAAGGUUUUCGGAUCGUAAAGCUCUGUUGUUAGGGAAGAACAAGUGCAAGAGUAACUGCUUGCACCUUGACGGUACCUAACCAGAAAGCCACGGCUAACUACGUGCCAGCAGCCGCGGUAAUACGUAGGUGGCAAGCGUUGUCCGGAAUUAUUGGGCGUAAAGGGCUCGCAGGCGGUUUCUUAAGUCUGAUGUGAAAGCCCCCGGCUCAACCGGGGAGGGUCAUUGGAAACUGGGAAACUUGAGUGCAGAAGAGGAGAGUGGAAUUCCACGUGUAGCGGUGAAAUGCGUAGAGAUGUGGAGGAAACACCAGUGGCGAAGGCGACUCUCUGGUCUGUAACUGACG
rnacentral:rRNA from 1 species